CCCUUAGAUGUUCUGGGCCGCACACGCGCUACACUGAAGGAGGCAGCGUGUACUCCUGGAUCGAAAGAUUUGGGUAACCCGCGAAUCUCCUUCGUGCUAGGGAUUGAGGUUUGCAAUUAUCCUUCAUGAACGAGGAAUUCCCAGUAAGUGCAAGUCAUAAGCUUGCGCUGACUACGUCCCUGCCCUUUGUACACACCGCCCGUCGCUACGACCGAUUGAAUGAUUUAGUGAGGACUUCGGACUGGGACCGAUGCGGCUUUCGGGCUGCGUCGGUAUUCUGGAAAGAUGUCCAAACUGUAUCAUUUAGAGGAAGUAAAAGUCGUAACA
rnacentral:rRNA from 1 species